GAUGAAGAACGUAGCGAAAUGCGAUAAGUAAUGUGAAUUGCAGAAUUCAGUGAAUCAUCGAGUCUUUGAACGCACAUUGCGCCCCCUGGUAUUCCGGGGGGCAUGCCUGUCCGAGCGUCAUUGCUGCCCUCAAGCACGGCUUGUGUGUUGGGCCCCGUCCCCUCCCCCGGGGACGGGCCCGAAAGGCAGCGGCGGCACCGCGUCCGAUCCUCGAGCGUAUGGGGCUUUGUCACCCGCUCUGUAGGCCCGGCCGGCGCCAGCCGACACCCAACUUUUAUUUCUAAGGUUGACCUCGGAUCAGGUAGGGAUACCCGCUGAACUUAAGCAUAUCAAAAGCGGAGGA
rnacentral:misc_RNA from 1 species